UAGGGAAUCUUCGGCAAUGGGGGCAACCCUGACCGAGCAACGCCGCGUGAGUGAAGAAGGUUUUCGGAUCGUAAAGCUCUGUUGUAAGUCAAGAACGAGUGUGAGAGUGGAAAGUUCACACUGUGACGGUAGCUUACCAGAAAGGGACGGCUAACUACGUGCCAGCAGCCGCGGUAAUACGUAGGUCCCGAGCGUUGUCCGGAUUUAUUGGGCGUAAAGCGAGCGCAGGCGGUUUGAUAAGUCUGAAGUUAAAGGCUGUGGCUCAACCAUAGUUCGCUUUGGAAACUGUCAAACUUGGGUGCAGAAGGGGAGAGUGGAAUUCCAUGUGUAGCGGUGAAAUGCGUAGAUAUAUGGAGGAACACCGGUGGCGAAAGCGGCUCUCUGGUCUGUAACUGACGCUGAGGCUCGAAAGCGUGGGGAGCGAACAGGAUUAGAUACCCUGGUAGUCCACGCCGUAAACGAUGAGUGCUAGGUGUUGGAUCCUUUCCGGGAUUCAGUGCCGCAGCUAACGCAUUAAGCACUCCGCCUGGGGAGUACGACCGCAAGGUUG
rnacentral:rRNA from 1 species